rnacentral:rRNA from 1 species
CAGCCCUCCCGCGUGUAUGAUGAAGGCCUUCGGGUUGUAAAGUACUUUUGGCAGAGAAGAAAAGGUAUCUCCUAAUACGAGAUACUGCUGACGGUAUCUGCAGAAUAAGCACCGGCUAACUACGUGCCAGCAGCCGCGGUAAUACGUAGGGUGCAAGCGUUAAUCGGAAUUACUGGGCGUAAAGCGUGUGUAGGCGGUUCGGAAAGAAAGAUGUGAAAUCCCAGGGCUCAACCUUGGAACUGCAUUUUUAACUGCCGAGCUAGAGUAUGUCAGAGGGGGGUAGAAUUCCACGUGUAGCAGUGAAAUGCGUAGAUAUGUGGAGGAAUACCGAUGGCGAAGGCAGCCCCCUGGGAUAAUACUGACGCUCAGACACGAAAGCGUGGGGAGCAAACAGGAUUAGAUACCCUGGUAGUCCACGCCCUAAACGAUGUCAACUAGCUGUUGGGGCCGUUAGGCCUUAGUAGCGCAGCUAACGCGUGAAGUUGACCGCC